GUUUCCGAGGAGCGUUGCGACGGGCAAUCCGCAAGACACCCGCCAGGCUCGGAAGCAUUCAAUCCGGACGGUUCGAACGCUCUUUUGGUCAUGAAAGGCGCCCGCGGAGCCUCCGCAUUCGAACGGCGCUCACGUCAA
rnacentral:ncRNA from 2 species